AUGUUACUGUGAUGUAUCAUCUCUUUGAGGUAUUAUUCUUAAUUUAAUAUUUUCAUGUAUUUGUUCCAUCACAUCUGGUUUACGUAGUUCUGAUGUCUUUUCUUAUUGUAGUUUGAUGCCUAAAUAUCUAUUAUUUUGGAUUUUGAACUUGUUUUUCCCUGAAGGUACCACAUUCUUGGCUUGUAGUGUGUAUAAGGUGGGAGGAACAAGGCCAAGAACUUCCUUAUGUUUCUGGUAGGUUUAAAGUGUAAAGCAGGGGAAGAAUUCUCCAUGGCAGAGGUCACAGUACCAGAGCUGAGCUUGGACAUCCAAAUUGGAAUUUUCUCUUCAGAAAAUUCUGAAUCUCAAAAAACUGUGUCACCUGUUCCAUUAGCUUUUCUCCCUCUUUGUUCUUGGUGCUAUCUGAUGUAAUAAUUAUCUCAGAGGAAUGCAACAGAGAGAAGAAAGUCAACUUCAAAGCUCUCUUUCUGCCUAGACCUCAUGCAUAGCAGCAAGUUACAGCUGACUUCAUUACUCUCAAGAAUUCCUCAUGGGAGAAAUGAUCUUUACACACAACUUUGAUUUCCAUGGGACACAUACUGUGAUUUUUACUUGGAGAAUAACCAAAAUUGGAAACAAGAAGGAGGAGUUGGGAUUAUUCUCCUUAUUUGAGUGCUUUAAUGAGGACCAAAUGAGUUAAUAUUUUAAAGCACGUGGAAAGUGACUGGAAAGAUGUGUUUACCAAAUGAAUAAAUAAAUAAAUGCACAUGUACAACCAUCACAACCAAUAGCUUCAAAGUAAAGGAAGCAUUGCUAUAACAAUAGAUAUCUACUUAAAGCUACAACAUUUCACUUGUGAACUACUUUGGCCAUAACUCACAAGGAAUCCACCUUACUCCAUGUGGUCACAGUCCUCCAGGGAAGUAUAACUUAGUCCAUGAAAUAAAAUCCUUUUAGUCUAAACUGAGUAUGCUGGUCCCAUUAUUUUUCUCAUGGGUUGGUUUAGAAAUGGAAUUAUGACAUAAUUCUCAUCCGUAAUAUAGGAAGAACCCAACCGUCAAAUUCUAGAAAGCUUUUCCUCACUAAUAAGGAGAGACAAACACUUUGGAAGAGUGUUCUCCUCCUCUACCCCCCAUGUCAUUGGCCUGAAACCACGGUAACCAUCUUUAGAACAUGACGGCAGCAACGCUUCUGACAGGGUAGAUGGAAAGAAACUGAGACUUUAGUGCUUGGAACGGACUUCCCGCUGUGUUAGAGAAAAUACUUUCCUUACCUUUAAAAUUCAGUUGAGACAGGUUUGUAUUAUGUGCACCUGAAAGCAUUCAGUGAGUAUGAAGGCGAGUGCAGUAUGUGAGCCAUGAAGUCCCAUCGACUGUGUGGCAAUUGGUUAGUGAGUUCAACAGGCUAAUUUAAAACAGAAAAUGUGAAAAUUGAUGCCAUUGCUCUAUGAACAAUGAGAUUCUUUAUUAGGAAACCACAUUGUCGAAAGUAAAAUUAUUUAGAGCAUUUCCUUCUGAAUUGGAUAUAAUUCAUUGGAGGUAUUAGAGAUCAGUGUUCAUACUUAUUUUGGUAAAUCCAGUACA